GAGCGAGCCCACGGUCUGCCGACGCGGGGCCAGCGGCGGGCCCCAGGAUCCGGAGCUUCGGGCGGGGCCGAGUCCAGCGCCUACCAUGUGUCUGGCAAGGGAGGUGUAACAGUGAGAAAAACUAGGUGUGGUCCAGGCCCUCCAGGGGCUCAGGGGCUCGUGGAAGAAGUGGACAUUGAAGUACUUACCACACAAAUGAGCAUGAAAGUACAAUAGCAAUAUCUGCCACGAAGCUGUUGUUCCCCACCAGAACCAAAUGAGCGCAAGAUCUGACAAAGAAAAAAAAAGGUUCAUCUUUUAUUCCGCCAAACACUUUCAUCUAAAUCAAGAGGGUGGGAUGUGGUUAUUGCUGUGUUUUUAGACAGAAUCAACAGUUUCUGGGUCUGAGAUAUUGCAUACACCCUCUCAGUCCCUGUAUCCUCAGAUGGAGUCACCUGAGAAUCCACAGCAAGUCCUAACCGGGGAUGGGUCUGGGUGGUUAAGGAAGGUUGGCCUCAGAACUGGGCCAGGGGCACUGCUUUGCUUUUGCUGUUUUGAUCAGCUCUCUGCCCGCAGGAGACAAGGAAAACCAAUGGGAACAGCUGGGGAAACUGAGUUACAGAGCUUGUCUACACUGAGUCAACAGGAGCAAAUGCUAGAUCAGAUAGGAUCUCUCUCUCUCUGCCACCCAGGCCAGAGCGCAGUUGAUGCAGGUCAGGGGAGCCCCCCAGUGGAGCAUAGUGUGUCCAGAACUGGUGGGUUGUUGGUCUCACUGACUUCAAGAAUGAAGCCACGGACCCUCGGGAAACUCCUGGAGGGCAGAGCCAUGCCUGCCAUUUUCAUCAUUGCAUUACCACCACCCAGCAC
rnacentral:lncRNA from 10 species